CUACGGGCGACUGCAGUUAGGAAUAAUCUACAAUGUACGAAAGUAUGAUAGUUUGAGUCAGAGUGCGUUUCAAUUGAAACGCUUUUGAGAAAUGUAAAUAGUUUCUCGAAUAAGGACUGGGUAAGACGGGUGCCAGCCGCCGCGGUAAUACCCGCGGUCCAAGUCGCAGCCACAUUUAUUGGGUCUAAAAUAUCCGUAGCUUGCUUAAUAAGUUUCUUGUGAAAUCCGGCUUCUUAAGAGUCGGGCGCGCAAAAAGUACUGUUAAGCUAGAGACUGGAAGACGUGGGAAGUACGUUUAAAGUAGUGGUUAAAUACGUUAAUCUUAGACGGACUCACAAUAGCGAAGGCAUCCUACGAGGACAGUUCUGACAGUGAGGGAUGAAGGCUAGGGGCGCAAAAAGGAUUAGAUACCCCCGUAGAC
rnacentral:rRNA from 1 species